ACCCCUAAACAAUUAAAAAAAAAAAAAAAAAAAAGAUAUUUGCAGUUUCCAGCUUUCCUCUAUUUUUCAACCAGCAGUAACGGUUUACAGGCUGAACGUCCCAAGCACUGAACUUUACCAAUUCCAUUUGAAGAGAAAUGGCACUGUUCACUUUCAUAUGGCGCACGGUCACAGGAAGCUCCUCCGUACGCUGCUUCGUAACCCGGAUCAUAUUUUUCUUCUUUGACAGCCAUCUUUUUAGAAUCCUCUUGUGCAAGUUGCAAGUCAAAUGUUUACUCCACCUCCUGCACCUCUGUGUUUGGUGCGAUACCUUUCAGCUGAUCCCUUAAGUCUUUCAGCUUUAUGUAAUAAUGAACUUUAUCUUGCGGGUGAGGAAACUGAGCACAUCUUGCACUGGAUGAUGGCAUAACGUAGCAGAGCUUGUCCCAGGGCAGCUGUUCCCCGCUGAUCCACACAGACAUGACGGGAGUCGCGACGUGUUAUUCACAGCGGCUGGCAGCCAGGCAAGAGACCCUCUCAGCUACCCGAGAACGCGGUCUUUGCCAUCAUCUCAGGAAACCGCUCUGUGAAG
rnacentral:lncRNA from 1 species